rnacentral:rRNA from 1 species
GAUGAACGCUGGCGGCGUGCUUAACACAUGCAAGUCGAACGAGAAGUGAAGACGGAAACCUUCGGGCGGAAGGCUUUAUUUCGAGUGGCGGACGGGUGAGUAACGCGUGGGUAACCUGCCUCAUACAGGGGGAUAACAGUUGGAAACGACUGUUAAUACCGCAUAAGACCACAGCACCGCAUGGUGCGGGGGUAAAAACUCCGGUGGUAUGAGAUGGACCCGCGUUCGAUUAGCCAGUUGGCGGGGUAACGGCCCACCAAAGCGACGAUCGAUAGCCGAUCUGAGAGGAUGACCGGCCACAUUGGGACUGAGACACGGCCCAAACUCCUACGGGAGGCAGCAGUGGGGAAUAUUGCACAAUGGGGGAAACCCUGAUGCAGCGACGCCGCGUGAGUGAAGAAGUAUUUCGGUAUGUAAAGCUCUACCAGCAGGGAAGAAAAUGACGGUACCUGAGUAAGAAGCCCCGGCUAACUACGUG